rnacentral:lncRNA from 1 species
AUGAUAUCACAAAUGAUGAAUUAGGAAAAGUCUUGUUCAGAUUAUAAGGAAGUUUGUAACAUUUAUUUAUAUUUAAGGUGUGUGUGGUCCAAUGGAGGGGAUCAAAAGCGAGGUGUGUUUGAUUCAAAAGAGGAGAUGAGAGGAGUUUUAAUGCUUUUGUGUUUGGUUCAAGAGGAGUAGAAUGAUUUUAAAUGAUUUUUAAGUUGUCUUAGUUCUACCCCUUCUCUCCCCUUCAAAUCCCC